AAGUCGUAACAAGGUCUCCGUUGGUGAACCAGCGGAGGGAUCAUUACCGAGUUUACAACUCCCAAACCCUGCUGAACAUACCUUAAUGUUGCCUCGGCGGAUCAGCCCGCGCCCCGUAAACCGGGACGGCCCAGGCCAGAGGGACCCCCAAAGCCAUCCCAAUUCGAUUUUCGUUUUAUUUAGUUAAACCUUUCCUGGGGGUUAAAAACCAAAACAAAUAAAUCAAAA
rnacentral:misc_RNA from 1 species